UAGGGAAUCUUCCACAAUGGACGCAAGUCUGAUGGAGCAACGCCGCGUGAGUGAAGAAGGUUUUCGGAUCGUAAAGCUCUGUUGUUGGUGAAGAAGGAUAGUGAGAGUAACUGCUCAUUAUUUGCCGGUAAUCAACCAGAAAGUCACGGCUAACUACGGG
rnacentral:rRNA from 1 species